rnacentral:SRP_RNA from 1 species
GGCCAUGUGGAUGACGAUCGUGACGGUGACUACGUUCGGCGGCGACGUGCCCGUGACACUGGCCGGCCGCUUCGCCGUCUCCGCUCUCCUGCUCAGCAGCAUCCUCUUCAUGGCCAUGCCCAUCGGCAUCAUGGGCAACGCCUUCACCCAGGUGUGGAAGGACCGCGACCUCAUA